CUCUCUCUCUCUCUCCAGAGGUAUCAGUCUCUCUCUCUCCAGAGGUAUCAGUCUCUCUCCAGUAUCAGUGUAUCUUCAGACUUACCCAGCAUCGUUGUCCGUCCUCUUCAGUACUUCGGAGAUGUGAGUAAGACUGUGUCUGAACUGAGAGAGAAACUAGAAGACUUCCUUAAAGGAGAAUGGACCAAGAUCUCCACUACAGUGAAUAUAGUGGAUGUUGUACUGCCUCCAGAGCCCAAGACCAGAGAACAGUUGUUACAAUAUUCCUGUCAGCUCACACUGGACCCAAACACAGCACAGACACGCCUCUCUCUGUCUGAAGGGAACAGAAAGGUGACACUUACAGGCCAAGUCCAACCAUAUCCUGACCAUCCAGACAGAUUCACCAACUGGUACCAGGUUCUGUGUAGAGAGGGUCUGUAGUAGUAGUAGGGUCCACAUAGAUACUAGUCAUGCUGGUGUAGUCUAUAGCUGAGCUGGUUAAACUGUAGUAGGGUCCACAUA